rnacentral:sRNA from 1 species
AUGGGAAGAAUAGAGUGGUCUACUGUUUCAAAAGCCUAUUGGAGGUCUUACAGAAUCAUAUCUAUUUUAUCACCCACUUAACUCCUUAUAGGGAUCCAACAGAGUGAUCACGUGACCAAACUGUGGAAUCAGAACGAGUCUAAACAAAGGAAUUGGAAAGUCGUUGAUUAUCAGAGUUCUUAGUAUUUUGUAAAUUUUCGGCGUUAUUUUGUAGAUUUUUGUUAUUUCAUUACCGACUUUAUAAAAAUUACAUCUUUACAUCCMACAGUCGUCGAGGAAUUUGCUAAUCACCCUGUAACAGUGGGUMAGAAUCUUAAAAUUUGUAAUGUUUGAUUUUGAGUUGCAGGAUUCGAUUCCGCUGUUCAGCGACCAUUACGAUUUAUUGAUUAUUGGCUUUCGAGCCGUUACGUCUGAAUGACAAUCAGAAUGAAUUUCUGAGAUUUAUGCCUGAAUGGUGUCUUGUAAUCUGAAUGAUUACGNAGAGGUUAGAAUAUUGAAUACGUUACGACGUAGGUAUAGACAUGUCAGACUGAACAUUUAACUGAUGCUGGCCACGACGGACAGCUUGUGAUGGGAUGAAUUCCUGUGAACCUCUAUUUGCUAAUUUAUCAAUUGAUCAUGCAUUGAAUAUGCACAGUUAUAUUCAUUGCGAAUUUUGGGASUYUCAUAGAGCACUAAAGUAUUUGUUAUUUUUGUUUAUAGGCUGGCUAUUUGAACGUAUUUAACGAUGGCAACUAUUCCGGGGAGUUCGAAGCAACAGCCUUCCGUCUUGGGCAGAAAUGAUGACUGUGAGCAUGCGCAGUCGGCGCAACAGAAUGUAAACAAACUAGAGAACAAACUUGAGGAACUUGUUGACAAUUUCAUGGCAUCUAUUCAUGCGUUCAAAAGUCAGACGGAGAAGAUAAAACCGCUGUCGUCCACGGUUCAUAAACUAGAACCACGCAUAGAGGUUAGCUCCAAACG